CGGAGGAAGGUGGGGAUGACGUCAAGUCAUCAUGCCCCUUACGUCCAGGGCUUCACGCAUGCUACAAUGGCCGGUACAAAGGGCUGCGAUCCUGUAAGGGGGAGCGAAUCCCAAAAAGCCGGUCUCAGUUCGGAUUGGGGUCUGCAACUCGACCCCAUGAAGUCGG
rnacentral:rRNA from 1 species